rnacentral:lncRNA from 1 species
GUGUGGGGAAGGGUGAAGCCAGAAGUCACGAACGUCGAUCCUUCUCAACCAAGAAGGAACCUCUACAUCUUGGUCAACGACCACCGUUGCCCCGUCUCCAUCGACAUCGCUACUGCUCAGCCAGCAACCGCCACCACCGCCGCUGCCCUCUUUCUGCAGUUAUCUUCAUCUUCAAAAAAAAAAAAAGGAAAAAAGAGAGAAGAAGAAGAAGAAGCUGCAGCCACCCCUACUUCCGGCCAGCCCACCCACCACCGUUGCUCUCCG